rnacentral:rRNA from 1 species
AGAGUUUGAUCCUGGCUCAGGAUGAACGCUGGCGGCGUGCCUAACACAUGCAAGUCGAACGAAGCUUGAGGAAUGAUUUCUUCGGAAUGAAUUCUGAUAUGACUUAGUGGCGGACGGGUGAGUAACACGUGAGCAACCUGCCUUUCAGAGGGGGAUAACGGCUGGAAACGGUCGCUAAUACCGCAUGAUAUGUUUGGAUGGCAUCAUUUGAACAUCAAAGAUUUAUCGCUGAAAGAUGGGCUCGCGUCUGAUUAGAUAGUUGGUGAGGUAACGGCUCACCAAGUCGACGAUCAGUAGCCGGACUGAGAGGUUGAACGGCCACAUUGGGACUGAGACACGGCCCAGACUCCUACGGGAGGCAGCAGUGGGGAAUAUUGCACAAUGGGGGAAACCCUGAUGCAGCAACGCCGCGUGAAGGAAGACGGUUUUCGGAUUGUAAACUUCUUUUCUUUGUGAAGAAACAAAUGACGGUAGCAAAGGAAUAAGCAUCGGCUAACUACGUGCCAGCAGCCGCGGUAAUACGUAGGAUGCAAGCGUUAUCCGGAUUUACUGGGUGUAAAGGGAGCGCAGGCGGGACUUCAAGUUGGAUGUGAAAGGUCAAGGCUUAACCUUGGCACUGCAUCCAAAACUGUAGUUCUUGAGUGGAGUAGAGGUAAGCGGAAUUCCGAGUGUAGCGGUGAAAUGCGUAGAUAUUCGGAGGAACACCAGUGGCGAAGGCGGCUUACUGGGCUCUAACUGACGCUGAGGCUCGAAAGUGUGGGGAGCAAACAGGAUUAGAUACCCUGGUAGUCCACACUGUAAACGAUGAUAGCUAGGUGUGGGGGGUCUGACCCCUUCCGUGCCGGAGUUAACGCAAUAAGCUAUCCACCUGGGGAGUACGACCGCAAGGUUGAAACUCAAAGGAAUUGACGGGGGCC